rnacentral:rRNA from 1 species
AUGAGUUGGUUUCUCAUCGUGGCACCGCUAGAAGCCAAGGCGCACAAAUAUGGAAUGGGAGCAGGACACGCCCACAGUUCUACUACUCCAUGCGACAGAGUUCAAUCAUCUAAGAGGGGAGUUGGAAGCGACAGGAGGGGGAAGGUCAGUGCCCGUUUGGAGAGAAGGUCACCUGUGGACAUGAUAGAAGUUUGUAUCGCAUGCUCAUAUUCAGCAGAGGGAUCUCUGAAAUUUCUCUCUGUGUUUUGUCUGAACAUUUCAGCAAAGGGAUCUUUGAGCUUUGUGCUUAAUAUUCCUUCUUCACUGGAUUUGCAUUAG